rnacentral:rRNA from 1 species
GUGCUUAACACAUGCAAGUCGAGCGGAAAGGCCCUUCGGGGUACUCGAGCGGCGAACGGGUGAGUAACACGUGAGUAACCUGCCCCUGACUCUGGGAUAAGCCCGGGAAACUGGGUCUAAUACCGGAUACGACACCUCCUGGCAUCGGGUGGGUGUGGAAAGUUUUUUCGGUUGGGGAUGGACUCGCGGCCUAUCAGCUUGUUGGUGGGGUAACGGCCUACCAAGGCGACGACGGGUAGCCGGCCUGAGAGGGCGACCGGCCACACUGGGACUGAGACACGGCCCAGACUCCUACGGGAGGCAGCAGUGGGGAAUAUUGCGCAAUGGGCGAAAGCCUGACGCAGCGACGCCGCGUGGGGGAUGACGGCCUUCGGGUUGUAAACCUCUUUCAGCAGGGACGAAGUUGACGUGUACCUGCAGAAGAAGCGCCGGCUAACUACGUGCCAGCAGCCGCGGUAAUACGUAGGGCGCAAGCGUUGUCCGGAAUUAUUGGGCGUAAAGAGCUCGUAGGUGGCUUGUCACGUCGGGUGUGAAAGCUUGGGGCUUAACUCCAGGUCUGCAUUCGAUACGGGCUGGCUAGAGGUAGGUAGGGGAGAACGGAAUUCCUGGUGUAGCGGUGAAAUGCGCAGAUAUCAGGAGGAACACCGGUGGCGAAGGCGGUUCUCUGGGCCUUACCUGACGCUGAGGAGCGAAAGCGUGGGGAGCGAACAGGAUUAGAUACCC